AAUCAACGCUGGCGGCGUGCCUAACACAUGCAAGUCGAGCGGUAAGGCCCUUUCGGGGGUACACGAGCGGCGAACGGGUGAGUAACACGUGGGUGACCUGCCCUCAGCUCUGGGAUAAGCCUGGGAAACCGGGUCUAAUACCGGAUAUGACUCCAUGACGCAUGUUGUGGGGUGGAAAGCCUUGUGCGGCUGAGGAUGGGCCCGCGGCCUAUCAGCUUGUUGGUGGGGUGACGG
rnacentral:rRNA from 1 species